CUCUUCUCUUGUCUGCCGCCAUGUGAUAUGUGCACUUCACCUUCUGCCAUGAUUGUGAGGUCUCCCCAGCCACGUGAAACUGUGAGUCCAUUAAACCUCUUUUUCCUUAUAAAUUACCCAGUCUUGCAUAUGUCUUUAUCAGCAGCAUGAAAAUGGACUAAUACAGGUUGCUUUCAUGUUUUAGCUAUUGUGAAUAAUGCUGCCAUGAACAUGUGCAUACAAAUAUCUCUUUGAGAGCCUGCUUUCAAUUAUUUGGGGUAUAUGUGCAGAAAUCUAGUUGCUGGGUAACUCUAUUUUUAAUUUUUUGGGGAAGCACCAUACUGUUUUCCAUCGUGGAUGUACCAUUUCACAUUCCCAGCAACAGUGCAGAAGGGUUCCAGUUUCUCCACAUCCUCGCCAACACUAGUUAUUUUCUGGAUUUUUUGUGUGUUUUUUUGUUUGCUUGUUUGUUUUAUUAAUAUAGUAACCAACCUAAUGGUGUUAGGUGGUAUAUCAUUGCAGUUUUGUUUGGUUUUUGUUUUGUUUUUUGUUUUUGAGACAGGGUCUCACUCUGUUUCCCAUGCUGGAGUAUAAGUGGUGCAAUCAUAGCUUACUGCAGACUUGACCUCCUGGGCUCCAGUGAUCCUCCUACUCAGUCUCCUGAGUAGCUGGAAAUACAGGCAUACACCACCAUGCCUGGCUAAUUUUAAAUUUUAUUUUAUUUUAUUUUAUUUUUAGAGAAGUGGUGUGGGGGGGUCUCACUAUGUUGCUCAGGUUGGUCUUGAACUGGGCUCAAGCAAUCCCUUAGCCUCGCCAAGUGCUGGGAUUACAGGUGUGAGCCACUGUUCCCCAGCCUUAUUGUAGUUUAGAUAUGCAUUUGCCUAAUGAAUGGUGACGUCAAGCAUUUUUAUAUACAUAUUGCCCAUUUGAGUACUUAUUUAGAGAAAUGUCUAUUCAAGUCAUGUGUCUAUUUUUGAAUCAGCUUUUUGUUUCAUUGUAGAGUUUUAGGAGUUUUCUACAUAUUAAGGAUACUAAUUCCUGAUCACAUACACAACUUGCAACUAUUUUCUCCCAUCUAGUGAGUUGCCUCUUUACUCUGUUGACAUUGUUUUUUGCCUGUGCUUUUGUUGUCAUAUCCAAGAAAUUAUUGCCAAAUCCAAAGUUGUAUAGCUUUGUCUUAUUAUUAUUUUUUAGAGUUUUACAGUUUUAGAUUGUACAUUUAGGUUUUUGUAGUUUGUAUAUGGUGUGAGGCAAAAGGUCCAGCUUUAUUCUUCUGCAAAUUAAUGUCCUGUUUUCCCAACACCGCUUGUCAAAAAGACUAUUAUUUUCCCCACUGGACGGUCUCAGCACCUUGUCAAAGAUUAUUUGACCAUAUAUGUGAAGGUUUAUUUCUGAACUCUGUGUUCUAUUUCAUUGACCUAUGUGUCUGUCUCUAUGCCAGUGUGGUACUGGCAUAAAGAUAGACAUGUAGGUCCAGGGUACCACACUGGUAUGACGACAGACUGUAGAUUACUGUAUUCUUGAUCACUGUAGCUUUAUAGUGAGUUUACCAGAUUAUGAAAUUAUUGAUUACUAUAGCUUUGUAGUAAGUAUUGAAAUCAGGAAGUGUGAGUCCUCUAACUUUCUUCUUUUCUUUCAACAUUGCUUUUGCUAUUUGGGAUCCCUUGAGAUUCUAUAUGAGUUUUAGGAUGGGUUUUUCCAUUUCUGAGAAAAAAAGGCUUUGUGGUUUUGAUGGGGUAGAAUUAAAUCUGUAGAUUACUUUGAGUACUAUUGACAUCUUCCAAUCCAUGAACAUGGGAUGUCUUCUUUAUUUAUUUAUGUCUUCUUUAAUUUCUUACCGCAAUUUUUUUGUAGUUGUCAGUACAGAAGUCUUUAACCUCCUCAGUUAAGCUGAUUCCUAAAUAUUUUAUUUUAUUCUUUUUGCUGCUACUGUAAGUAGAAUUGUUUUCAUAAUUUGCUUUUUGGACUGUUCAUUGUUAGUUAGCAUGAACAAUGUAUUGAUUUUUUAUCCUGCUACUUAGCUGAAUUCAUUUAUUAGUUCAUUUAUUUUUCAUGCCUAAUUGUUCUGGCUAGCACUUUUAGUACUAUGCUGAAUAGCAGUGGGGAAACAGGCACCCUUCCUGUGGGUUUUUCGUAUAUGGCUUUUAUUAUGUAAUGUUGAGGCAGUUUCCUUUUAUUCCUAGUUUGUUAAGUGUUUUUCUUUAAAUCAUAAAAUGUGUUGAAUUUUGUCAAAUGCUGCCACUGCAUCAAUUCAGAUGGUUAUGUGGGAGAUUUUCCCCUUCUGGAAAUGUUGUGUAUUGCACUGAUCCAUUUUCAGUUGAGCCGUCUUAGUACUCCAAGAAUAAGUCACACUUGGUCAUAGUGUGUAAUCCUUUUUUUAAUAUGCUGCUGAAUUAGGUUUGCUAGUAUUUUGUUGAGAAUUUUCACAUCUAUAUUCAUCAGGGAUGUUAGUUCUGUAGUUGUUUUGUUUUGUUUGAGACAGGGUCUUGCUCUGUUGCCCAGGCUGGAGUGCAGUAAUGCAAUCUUGGCUUACUGCAGCCUAUACCUCCUGGCUCAAGCCAUUCUCCUACCUCAGUUUCCUGAGUAGCUGGGACUACAGGCACAUGCCACCAUGCCCAGCUAAUUUUUGUAUUUUAUGUAAAGAUGGGGCUUCCCCAUGUUUCCCAGGCUGUUCUUGAACUCCUGAGCUUCCACCUCAGCCUCCCACAGUGCUGGGGCUGCAGGCAUGAGCCACUGUGUCUGGCCCUGGUCUGUAGUUUUCUUUCUUUAAAUUUUUUUUUUUUUUUUUUUUUAGAGACAGGGUCUUGCUCUGCUGCCUAGGCUGGAGUGCAGUGGUGCGAUCAUGGCUCAUUGCAGCCUGGAACUCCCGGGCUCAAGUGAUCUUCCCACCUUAGCCUCCCAAGUAGCUAGGACUACAGGCAUGCACCACCACACCAGCCUAUUUUAUUCUUUUGUAGAGAUGGGGUCUCAAUAUGUUGCCCAGGCUGGUCUUGAACUCCUGGUUUCAAGUGAUCCUCCUGCCUCAGCCUCCCAAAGUACUUGGAUUACAGGUGUGAUUUGCCACACUUAGCCCAGUUUUCUUUUCUCAUAGUGUCUUCGUCUGGCUUUGGCAUCAGGAUAAUGUUGGCCUCAUAGAAUAGUUAGGAAGUAGUCCUUCGCCUUCAGUUUUUCUGAAGCGUUUGAGAAGAAUCGGUAUUCUUCAUCCAAUAUUUGGGAGAAUUUGCCAGUGAAGCCAUCAAGUCCAGGGCUUUUCUUUGUCAGAUUUUUCAUUACUGAUUCAAUCUCCACAUUAGUUAUAAUUCUGUUAAGACUUUCUAUUUAUUCCUGAUUUGUUUCUCAGUAGAUUUUGUGUCUCUAGGAAUUUGUUUAUUUCAUCCAUGUUAUCCAAUGUGUUGGCAUACAAUUGUUCAUAGUACUCUCUUACAAUUUUUUUUUAUUUCUAUAGAGUCAGUAGUAAUGUGCCCACUUUCAUUUCUGAUUUAGUAACUGGAGUUUUCCCUCUAUUUUCUUAGUCCAUCUAGUGAAAGGCUUGUUAAUUUUGUUGAUCUUUCAAAGAACUAACUUUUGGUUUUACUGGUUUUUCUCUAUUGUUUUUCAAUUCUUUAUUUCAUUUAUCUCUUCUCUAACCUUCAGUAUUUCUUUUCUUCUGCUAGCUUUGGGUUUAGUUUAUUCUUCUUUUUCUAGCUCCUUAAGUUGUAAAGUUAGGUUGCGGGUUUGAGAUCUUGCUAGUUUUUUAGUGUAAGCAUUUAUAACUAUGAACUUCCCCUGUGGCACUGCUUUUGCAGCAUCCUGUAAGUGCUGGUCUGCUGCGUUUUCGUUUUCAUUCUAAGUAUUUUCUUUUUCCCUUGUGAUUUCUUCUCUGGACUGUUGGUUGUUUAAGAGUGUGUUGUUUAACUUCCAGAAAUUUGUGGAUUUUUCAGUUUUACUUCUGUUAUUGAUUUCUAACGUUAUCCUAUUGUGGUUGGAGAAGAGUUUGUAUGAUACCUACAUUUUAAAAUUGAUUGAGACCUAAUUUGUGGCCUAACAGAUGGUGUAUCCUGGAAAAUGACUCAUGCUUAUUUGAGAAGGAUGUAUAUGCUGCUAUUGUUCUUGGUAGAAUGUCUGGAUGUGUGUUAGAUCUAGUUGGUUUAUUGUGUUGCUGCCCGCCGCUGCCCUACACUCCUCUCACCCAACUACGCAUCCAACUCUGCUGAACAGUGAGCUAACACAGCACAGACUGCCCGCCCUACAUGCCUCUUACCCAACUACGUGUCCAACUCUGCUGAAACCCGAGCUAACACAGCACAGGCUGCCCGCCGCUGCCCUACACGCCUCUCACCCAGCUAGACUCGCAUCCAACUCUGCUGAACCACCAGCUAACACAGCACAGGCUGCCCGCCGCUGCCCUACACGCCUCUCACCCAGCUAGACUCACUGUCCAACUCUGCUGAACCACCAGCUAACACAGCACAGACUGCUCGCCGCUGCCCUACGCGCUUCUCACCCGGCUAGACUCGUGUCAAACUCCAAGCAGACUGGUGAGACAGCGCUGCUACAAUACAGGGUACAGGAGCCAAGGGGACGGCGCACAGGGACUUCUGUGUAACCAUUUGUGGCCUGGGACCCCAGAGCUAGUGUCUGGCAAUGUUUGGGUUUAGACCUAGGGGUGAUGGCUCCAGUCCUGCCCACUUUGCCCCAUCCUCUGGGUCCCGAGCCUACCCUGGGCCUUUGGACUCCUGCCAGGCCUUGCGGCAGGUGCAUCACACUGUUGGGUUCCUAAGUGCCACAGGCCUGGGAUCAGCAGACAUGAGGAACACCAACGGUGUCCCUGGAAAGCAAUCCCCGGGGCUGGGUGAGGCAGGAGGAGUGUAGCAGGUGGGGAAGCUGGAUAGAGGUGGCCAGGAUGGGAGCUGUGCUCUGUGGGCCAUGAGAAGGGUGGAAGGACUUGGGGGCAGGGAGAGAUUUUGGGUUUGUCUUCAUAAGGGUCACUCUGGCUGCUCUCAGGGGGAUUGAAGGAGCAAGGCAGGGAGACACAGUGGCGUUCAUGGUCAUGGGGGAAGGGCUGCUUUCCAGCGGUAGGGCUGAGAAACGGUGAGGAAGAAGCCUGGGGUGGCGGGUGGCUUGCACUGACUCUGGGCUGCGGUCCUACCUAAGCUCCAGGGAGGACGGGGUUUCUGAGGAGACCUGGGGAACAGGACACAUCCAUGGAACCCCCCGGUGGAGGUGGAUGGCCGAUGAGCCUGGGGCCCAGAGGCAGCACUUGAAGUCACAGGAGCUAAGAGCAACAGUGGGUAAGGCAAGGAGAGGGGUCAGAGAAGCGUGGCCUGGGUCAGAGCGUGCCUUCCAGGGAGGUGAGUGAACCUAAGGGGAACCUGGCAGGAGGAGGGAUGAGUAGGGUCUGCAGUAGAGACAAUGGGGCUGGCAGGGCAGAGUUCGGGCAACGCGGACCUGCCUGGGGAGAAGCGGCUUGGAGCCGAUGUGGACGGGUGCACAUCCAGUGAACCACAGUGUCAGGGCGUGAUCCCCGGGGUGGGGAACGUGAGGACCAGGAGGAGGGGCUGUUUGAGCAGGGAAUUGGGUGCAGGGACCUUGGGCGCAGGUCUGAGGAGGGGGAUAUGGGCGACCCCUUCCUCUUCUCACACCAGGACGCCGGGGUGUCGCUCGUGGAGGAUGGGGGAUGGGAUCGUUUCUUCAUCCGUGCAUCUUUUCAGGGAUGUUUCCGUUGUUUCCGGAUGUUUUCGUUUUUUGUUAUUUCAAAGAAAUCUGCAAACAUUUGCACGUAGGUUUUUAUGUGAAUGUAAGUUUUUGAUUCUCUGGAACAAGUGUCCAGCUGUGUGAUUGCUGGGUUGUGAAGUAAGCGUAUGUUUCACUUUUUAAGGACCCGUCAGACUGUCUCGCCAGCGUGGCUGGACCAGCUCACCUUCUCACCAGUGAUAUGUGAGAGCUCUGCGUUCUUGCCAACGUUUGGUGUUGUCACUAUUUUUAAUGUUAUCCGUUUUAGCUGUUCUAAUAGGUAGGUAGUGAUCUCUCUCAUUCGGGCUUUCCUUUGCAUUUCCCGCGUGACUAGCACCGUUGGAUGUCUUUUCAUGCGCUUAUUUGCCAUCUGUAUCCAGCUGUCUCUCAGUAUCCAUGCGGAUUGGCUUCAGGGCGCUCCUCAGAUACCAAAAUCCCCGGAUGCUCAAGUCCGUGAUGUAAAAUGGCACAGCAUUUGCACAUAACAAAGUAUUCGCCCGUGUACUUUAAACCACCUUAGAUUAUUUAUAAUACUGAAUGCAAUGUAAAUGCGAUGUAAACAGUUGUUAUGCUGUAUUGUUUAGAGAAUAAUAACAAGAAAAGAGUCUAUACAUGUUCAAAACAAACACAAUUUUUUUUUUCAAAUAUUUUGGAUCCGUGGUUGGUAGAAUCCACAGAUGCAGAGCCCGUGGAUACCGAGCGACGACUGUAUUCUCUUUGGUAAAAUUCUUCUUGUCUUUUGCCCAUUUACUAUUUGGGUGGUGUGGUUUUUUUGCUGUUGAGUUUGUUUUGAGUAUAUAUAUUCUAGAUAUAAGUCCUUUAUCAGAUGUGUGGUUUGCAGAUAUGCUCUCCUAACAUGAAACUUGUUUUUUCAUCCUCCUACCAGGAUUUGUACAGAGCAAAUGUUUUUAACUUUGCUAAAGUCCAAUUUACCAAACAUUUUAUUUUAUAGGUUGUACUUUCAGGGUCAUGUCUAAUAUCUCUCAGCCAAACCCUAAGUCCUAAAGAUUUUCUCCUAUGUCUCCUUCUAAAAGUUUUAUAAUUUUACAUUUAAACCUAUACGAUGAUCAGUUUGAGCUAAUUUUUGUUGAAGAAGUGAUGUUUAAAUCAAGGUGUUUUUGCUUUUUGUUUGGGUGUUUUUGUUUGUUUGUUUGUUUUUUGCAUACAGGUGUCCAAUUGCGCCAGGACCAUUUGCUGAAAAGACUAUCCUCUCCAUUAGAUUAAGUUUUCACCUUUGUCAAAACCCAGUUAGUUGUACUAGCAUGGGUCGACUUCUGGGCACUCUAUUCUGUAACAUUGAUCAAUGUGCCUUUUCCUCCAUGAAUACCACAUAACCUUCAUUACUAUGGUUAUAUAUAGAGUAAGUCUUGAAAUGGGACAUACUGAUUUCUCCCAUUUUAUUCUUAUUUAUUUACCUAUUUAUUUAUUUAUUUUUUUUAGGCAGAGUCUCACUCUGUCACCAGGCUGGAGUACUGUGGCGCGAUCUCAGCUCACUACAACCUCCGCCUCCCAGAUUCAAACAAUUCUCCUGCCUCAGCCUCCUGAGUAGCUGAGAUUACAGGCGUGCACCACCACGCCCAGCUAAUUUUUUGUAUUUUUAGUAGAGACGGGAUUUCACCAUGUUGGCCAGGAUGGUCUCAAUCUCUUGACCUUGUGAUCUGCCCACCUCGGCCUCUCAAAGUGCUGGGAUUACAGGCAUGAGCCACCACACCCAGCCUCUUAUUUUUAUUUUUUAGAGACAAGGUCUUGCUCUGCCACCCAGGCUGGAGUGCAGUGGCACGAUCAUAGCUCACCACAGCCUCAAACUCCUGGGCUUAAGUGAUCCUCCCAUCUCAGCCUCCCAACUACCUAGGACUACAGGCGUGGACCACCAUGCCUGCCUAAUUUUUUAAAAUUUAUUUUUGUAGAGACAGACUGUCACUAUGUUGCCUAGGCUGGUCUGAAACUACUGGCCUUAAGCAAUCCUCUCACCUUGGCCUCCCAAAGUGCUGGGAUUACAGGCAUGAACCAUUGGACUUGGCCCAUUUUAUUCUUUUUCAAAUUGUUUUAGCUAUCCUGGUUCCUUUGCGUUUCCAUACAAACUUUAGAAUGAGCUUAUCUGUGGGUUUUUUUUCUUUUUUUUUGAGGUAAAGUUUCACUCUUGUUGCCCAGGCUGGAGCACAAUGGCACGAUCUCGGCUCACUGCAACCUCCGCCUCCUGAGUUCAAGCGAUUCUCCUACCUCAGCCUCCCAAGUAGCUGGGACUACAGGCACGCACCACCACACAUGGCUAAGUUUUGUAUUUUUAGUAGAGACGGGGUUUCACCAUGUUGGCCAGGCUGGUCUUGAACUCCUGACCUCAAGUGAUCUGUCUGCCUUGGCCUCCCAAAGUGCUGGGAUUACAGGCAUGAGCCACCACGCCCAGCCAACCCUCCCACUUCUAUUAAAUAAAAUGUCUGGGGAGCUGAAUUUGGGCUGAGCUCCUGCACUAGACCCCAACAGACCAAACUAAAACGUGCUACGUGGCACAUAAUCAAACUGGAACUUUAAAAAGAACCACAGGAGGCCAGGCAUGGUGGCUCACACCUGUAAUCCCAGCACUUUGAGAGGCCAAAGCAGGAGGAUCACUUGAGCUCAAGACCAGCCUGGACAACACAGUGAGAUCUCAUCUCUACAAAAAAUCAAAAAAUUAGCUGAGGGUGGUGGCACACGCCUGUGGUCCCUGCUACUCAGGAGGCUGGAGUGGGAGGAUCCAUUGAGCCCAGGAGAUGGAGGCUGCCGUGAGCCAUGACUGAGCCAUUGCCCUGAAGCCUGCGUGACAGAGCAACAACCUGUCUCAAACAAACAAACAAACAAAAAACACCACGAGAAAUCCCCAAAUGGGCCAGUUUUCCAAAAACCAGAAGAUUCAUGGCAACCAAUCAAAAGGGGCCCAGUCAACCCAAGCCGGCAUAAUCAGGAAGUCAAUCCAUACAAGGAAAAUAGCCUCAGGAGAGCCGGGCUGCUUGUGCUGUGAUGGUCCUUGCUACUGAAGCUGCCUUGUCAUGGCUGGUCAGCUGCCAUGCCCAAAGGAGCUCCUGUCUGUUUUGCAGGCUGGGUGCUGCCCAGUUCAUGAAUUACUAAUAAAAGACAAUUAAGCUGGGUGUGUGGUGCACACCUGUAGUCCCAGCUACUCAGGAGGCUGAGGUGGGAGGAUCGCUUAAGCCCAGAGCCCUGGCAACCUAGCAAGACUCCAUCUCAAAACUCAAUUUGCUGAAAUUUUGUUCUUUGAUGGUUUCUAUCCUUAAAACAGAACCAGCUGGAACCCUCUGGAAAGUUCCAGAACCACCAGCAUCAGGGUGGCCAAGACGUGGGCACUGCCAGACAGGGGACCAUGUGGGGCCAGAAGAAAUUAUAGGACAUAGCAGGUCUCAGACAUGACCAGAGACUGCUGCCAGUGGUGGAAGGCUUCCCUGAGCGUGAUGACCUGGCCACUCCACAGGAAGCCUCCACACCCAAGGUUAAAGGUGUCCAGCUGCGGCCAGGGUUCCGGGGUACCUGUGGAUCCCGUGACGUGGCACCGAAGAUCUGAGCUGUGCAGAGGAGCUGCACCACAGAGGCCAGGUUUCCGUGUGGAGAACGCGCAUAAUGGGAGGCCUUGAGCUGAGACCCAGCCCCCGACCCCCACCCCCACCCACCAGCAGGGGAUUCUCCUCAGGGCCUCACAGAGCACCACGUGGUGUCAUUGCUGGUCCUGCCAUAGCUCCCAGGACCAAUGCUUCCCAGAACUCCCUGCUACAUAAAUACAUCCGGUCCCUUUCCCUCGAGAUCUUGAAAAGUGAAGACUUCACUUGGCAGUAACGGUAAAACAUUUCAACAUGGUAAGUUGUCAUUUUAUGCACACAUGGAAUGGUGGCCCAUAAAGGGCCUGGGGGUCCAAUAUCCUACAUACUGGACUCCUCAUUAGUCCUCUGAGUCUUCUGUUCCCCAACACACUGCAUUGGGAUCAAACUGAAUUUGCAGCCAGGCAUCAUAGCUCAUGCCUGUAAUUCCAGCACUUUGGGAGGCUGAGAUAGAGGAUCACUUGAGGCCAGGAGUCCAAGACCAGCCUGGGGAACAUAACGAGACCUUGCCUCUAAAAAAAAAAUUUUAAAAAUUAGCCUGGUGUAGUGGGCAUGCCUAUAGUCUUAGCUACUAGGGAGGCUGAGGUAGGAGGAUCACUUGAGCCCAGGAGUUCAAAGUUAUAGUGAGCUAAGAGUGCAUCACAGCACUCCAGCCCGGGCAACAGAGCAAGACCCUGAUUCUAAACACACCUAUACACACACACACACACACCCCACCACCAACAACAAUGAAAAACCCUGAAUUUACAUCCUUCACGAUAAAGUGAUAGCUUCUGUGACAUUUGCACAGAAUUCUGAGUAAAGUUGCCUUUUCAGUCACAUCUGUUAAUGUUGACAAGACAUAAUCUAAAAAUCAAGAGGAUGAGAAUAGAAGGACCACUUCCCUUCUAGUGACCUCCUGGACCACACCAAGCACCAACAUCAUGAGGAUCCAAGGAAUCUCUGGAAAGUUCUAUCUCCAGAAGAUACCCUGAGAACACUUAGGCCCUCCCAGACCACAUGAAGAACCAACGUCAUAAGGAUCCAAGGCAUCCCUGGAAAGUUCCUUCUCCAGAAGAAGGAUCCAAGGCAUCUCUGGAAAGUUCCAUCUCCAGAAGAUUCCCUGAGAACACUUAGGCCCUCCCAGACCACACCAAGCACCAACAUCAUGAGGAUCCAAGGCGUCCCUGGAAAGUUCCCUCUCCAGAAGAUUCCCUGAGAAGACUUAGGCAUGAUCUUAAAUAAAUAUUCCUGUUGUUUAAAAGGCCUUAAAUUCCUCAUAUUUAAGCUGUUGGGAGUCCCUUGCAAUUCCAUAUACACUUGAGAAUCUACUUUUAUUUCUUUGAACAGGGCUGUUGGAAUUUUGAUAGGCAUUGUGUUGAAUCUGUAGAUCACUUUGGGUAGUAUUGACAUCUUAACAAUAUUAAGUCUUCCUAUCCAUGAAUAUGGGAUGUCUUUCCAUUUAUUUAGGUGUUCUUUAAUUUCUUUUAGCAAUCUUUUCUAUUUUCAGCAUACGAGUCUUUCACCUCCUUGGUUAGACUUAUUUCUGAGUAUUUAAUUCUUUUAGAUCUUGUUGUAAAUGGCAUUGUUUACUUAAUUUCCUGUUUGAAUUGUUCAAUACUGAUGCACAGAAACAAAUGAAUUUUGCGUGUUGGUCUUGAUGUGUUGAUCUUGUAACUUUGCUGAAUUUGUUUAUGAGCUAUUGUACCUUCUUGUGGGUUCUUUUGGAUUUUCUAUAUGUAGGAUUAUGUCAUCUUCAAAUAGAGAUCGUUUUACCACUUCC
rnacentral:lncRNA from 1 species